UGAUGACCGUUCCUCUCACUGCCUCAAGCCUAGGUAGUGGGAUUUUGUGUCAUCAAAUAUUAAAGGUGGCCUUUCUUCACUCAGGGUGUUUCUGGAUGGAUUUGGCCAUCCUGUGGCACUUUACUGAAUUUUGCGGGGUCACACAUUC